ACAAGCUGACCCAGCCCUCAAAGAUGGCACCUUCCCCUCCACCCCCCACCCCCACCACUACCACCCCUGCCCUCCUGCCGUUUGCACACAGCUGGCUGUUUGCCAAACCCAAGCUGGUCUCUUCUUUCGAGACGGAUGCAGCUAAUCUGUGUAGUGGAAGCAGAGGAUUCCAGGCCGUUCAGGCAAAAGCCCAGAGUUGGUUUGGAGUAGAAUCCAGCCCCAGGUGGGCCCACCACUUGAUAUAUCGCAGCCCAGGGUUGUGUGGCAGAACCAGUGCCAGGAGGAGAAAGAACAUUCCAUGUGUGUGUGACACAGCUGUGACGGGCAGAAGCAGAGAUGGAUAUUCAGCAGCUUUGUAAAAGAACUGGAUUUUGAAAAAGCAUCAACAGAACACAGAGAGCGAUUGUCCUUACUUGAUGGUGGAGGACAGCUUCCUGGUGGCCCGAGAGGUGAAUUUGCUGGUUACUUCUUUUGGAUACAAAAUACACCCUAGCAAAUACUUUCCGCAACUUAAAUAAACAGAAGUGACUUUCCCUCUUGUCCUCUCUGUCCUUGGGUCUUGGGGGGGUACCCUCUGAGAAAAAAAGAAAGAGGAUUCUAUUUAUAGUGCUUGGUGUAUUCUCAUGCUUCUGUCUCAUUUGCUCAGUUGUAUUUGAGAUUUUGUGACCCCAUGGACUGUGGCCUGCNNNNNNNNNNNNNNNNNNNNNNNNNNNNNGCAAGAAUACUGGAGUGGGUUGCCAUUUCCCACUCCAGGGCAUCUUCCCAACCCAGGGAUCAAACCCUCGUCUCCUGCAUUGAUUCUUUAACACUGUGCCAUCCAGUAAAAAAUAAAUAUCUCCCUGCCACUGAACAUAUGAAAAUUCAGUCCAUGAAUUGCCUCUGGUUCAAUGUUUGUCAAAGAUCUGAGACAGCAAAUAUUUAUAAAAGGUAUUCCUAGACAUACAUGUUUCCUGGGGCUUCCUCAGGUGGCUCAACAGUGAAGAAUCUGCCAGCAAUGCAGGAGCCACAGGAGGAAUGAGUUUGAUCCCUGAGUGAGGAAGAUCCCCUGGAGGAGGACAUGGAAACCCACUCCGGUAUCCUUGCCUGGAGAAUCCCAUGGACAGAGGAACCUGGGGGGCUCCAGUCCGUAGAGCCGAAAAGUGUCAGACACGACUGAAGAGACUGAGGACACAGACGUGUUUAUCUGUGCUUUCUUCUAGAUUCUUUGGUUUUCAUCUUUAUUUUCAGGUAGAGCAUCAGAAAAGAACUCACAGGAACCAUAAAUGUUAUCAUUAUGUGGUUUAACGUCACGCUCUUAGUGUUCCCGGAUAAAAGGAUCACAUUCGUCACUGAGGAUUUGGGGGGUUUUCGUAAACAGGAGCCCACUUGGGGCCACUGGAUGUCACACAGAGUUCUCUGGGCUUGUACUGAAUUCCUCCUGGAAGUGCGUCCCUGCUGAGUGUUCAGACAUUCUUAGCACAGACAAGGAAUACUCUGCAGCCCCACGUGCUUCCCGUUUGACUCGGCUGCCAAAGAAUUCAGAGCCAAAUUCUAUACCCCAUUAGGGCAAUUAACUACCAUCAAGGGCUUGUUAAAGUCAACUCCCUCUUCCUUUAGAUGCUAUCGCUUCCAACUUGAUUCCUAACUGUUCUGUUUUAUAUGACAUUUCAUCUCUUCGGCAGCUUCAGAUCCUUUUGGGAAAAGGCCGAACACAAAUAAUAACAAUUAAGAUGGCAGCUUAAAAUUUAACUGAUAGGAAAAAAACCAACAACAAAUGGAAAAAGAAAAAAGGAAAAAUUGACUGAUACAAACAAGUCCUGCUUUUAAAUUACAUUCAUUUAGACAAACUGGACAAUCUCCCUACAGUCCCUAUGACCCUUGCGCACGUCUUUAUCAUGCUCAAAGAUCUGGAGUUCAUUUCUUCAUCAACUGAAUGAGGGGAUUGGGAGCUGCCACCUUGAAGCUCUCGUUAAGGACCAGAAAUAUUUUCUUGUGAACCUACGAUGUGCCAGACACUGUUCUAGGUACCAGGGAUAUAUCAGUGAAGAAAAUAGAGAGAUCUGCCCUCAUGGAACUUACUACAGAGAGAGAAAUAAGCAAUUAAUAUAAUAAGCAUAUUACAUGAUGCAUGAAAAGAUGGUAAGGGUUAUAGGAAAAUAACUGAGCAGAUUGAAGGAGAGAGGAAAUCCCUGGGGGCAGGGGGCAGCGUUCAAUAGGGUAGUCUGGGCAAACCUCGAUAAGAAGUGAGAUUUGGCUAAAAUAUGGCACAACUGAACCUACUUAUGAAAGAGAAACAGACUCAGAGACAUAGAAAAUAGACUUGUGGUUGCCAAGGGGGAGAGGGGAGGGGAAGGGAAGGACUGGCAGAGUGAGAUUAGCAGAUGUCAACUAUUAUAUAUAGAAUGAAAGAACAACAGGGUCCUACUGUAUAGCUCAGAGAACUAUAUUCAAUACCCUGUGAUAAACCAUAAUGGAAAAUAACAUGAAAAAAAGAAUGUCUGUAUGUGUAUAACUGAAUCACUUUGCUGUACAGCAGAGAUUGCUACAACAUUGUAAAUCAGCUAUGUGUGUGUGUUAGUCACUCAGUCGUGUCUGACUCUUUGUGACCCCCGUAGACUAUAGCCCGAAAGGCUCCUCUGUCCAUGGAAUUCUCAAGGCAAGAUUGCAGAGUGGGUUGCCAUUCCCUUCUCCAAGGGAUCUUCCUGACCCAGGGAUNNNNNNNNNNNNNNNNNNNNNNNNNNNNNNNNNNNNNNNNNNNNNNNNNNNNNNNNNNNNNNNNNNNNNNNNNNNNNNNNNNNNNNNNNNNNNNNNNNNCAGAGUGGGUUGCCAUUCCCUUCUCCAAGGGAUCUUCCUGACCCAGGGAUAAAACCCAGGUCUCUUGAAUCGCAGACAGAUUUUGUUUUACCAUCUGAGCCACCAGGGAAGACUUCAGUAAAAUAUAUAUAUAUAUUAAACAAAGAAGAAGAAGUGAGAUUUAGAGAAAGACUUGAGGAAGCUGAUGGAGUUGGCCAGACAGAAGCAUACCUGGGGGAAGAGUGUGCAGGCAGAGAGGACAGCUAGAACAGAGGCGCUGUGGCCGAGAAGCACCAAGGUCAAA
ensembl:lncRNA